UGUGUAAACAAAUACAAAUCGUUAUCUCCACUCUCCACUUUUCUACAAAAAAUUAGCUUCCUAAUACGUAAACAGUUUUUACCGCAUAGCGCAUCGAAUUUUUCGUGACGCAGAAACGCUCUAGUCUGUUGCAUUUCUCAUAUAAUUCGAAUCCAUCGUAACGAAAUGCGAACACAAAUGAUAACAGUUUCAAGUUGGAUUCUCCCUUUAUCAAUUUACAGGUGUGCCUUUGCUGUUUAUCAGUGACUUUACUGGAAUGCUGUUUCGUCCACGUCGAAUAGCCGGCACCUGGAGGUCACUUCCCAGAUAAAAUAACAGACAAGCUUUGCUCUGACAAGCUGAAUAUGUAAGCCUGUAAACUACUUGGUUUCUCCAGCACUGCCUCCGCAGAGAUGAAAUAAAAGCAAGGAUAGCGGUGCUCUCAAUGACUCUGAUAAUUACCGGUUGCCUCUGCUACUCUCUUAUUGUGCUCUAUACGAUUACCGACUCAACUCUUGGCAUCAAAGAUCCGCUACCGAAUGCAGAGCCUGUCGAAAAUCCUGACAUUUUUAUUCCUCCUCGUUUCCAACCGGUAAAUAUUAUCAAUAACUUUCGUUUUAUUUUUCAAAAAUUUCAAUCAACUGUCUCUAAAGCAAUUAAUAAUUUCCUUGAUAUUAAUUGAAAAUCAAAAGAACAAUGCAUAACGGAGUAGUUUUGCCAGCACAGAAAACGAUCUAAUUAUUGAUAAUAGCAGAGUCUAUCUCUGGUGCUCCAACCUGAUUAAGAGAAAAAUCCGAGACAUAAGUUGCUGAGGACUUCGACUCCUUUUUUUCCAAAGAGAGGAAGGGCAGCAGAGGAAAAAAGGAGUCGGUUAUCUCAUGUCGUCUUAGACUGUUUCCAUAGUUUGCUAGAAGUUUGGUUUUCUUAAGCAUCAGAGCCACUUGUAAUAUACUUCAAUUUGAAUCGAUAAGAAAUCAAAUCCAUAUUCGUAGCCUCUCUAGUUCCAAAAAACGCAUCAUUGUGUAACUGGCCCCAAAGAGGGAGAUGAAUUUUAACCUGCUUGUACUCAUUACCUUUUCAAAAUUUUACAAAAAGUAUGAUAAUCAGUUUCUUAAGAAAAAAUUAUGACAAUCAUUACUUUUGUAUUUGAUACCCAAAGAAACGUUACCAAUAAGCAAUAUAUCCAUCUUGACCUCUGAUUUUAUCUUGCCUUAACCCUCUAUGGCAUGAUUUAAUUUAUCUCAGAUUCUAGGGGACACUACUAAUCUAUUUUGUUGCUUGCAUUCAAAAAAGUAGAGUACCAAAUUUGUUUUCAAAAUUUUAAAGUUAAGGGAAUCAGUUUUUCCAAAAAAGAAAAACCAAUGAAAUUUUGCGAAAUCAUGGCACAGAGGAAAGAUGCAAUUUUUAAAAACCCCGAAAAUACGUUCUAUAUGAAUUUGUAUCGCCAUGCCAUAGAGGGUUAAAUUGAUCAUUUCUUUUACUUUACUGUAUUAACUUGAUGGUAACAGUGUCAAGUGCCAGCACCUGACAGCAUUACUAUUUAGGAAUAAUGUUAGGCGCCAGCAGCAGAAACAAUUGAAUAUUGUAUUGUAAGGAUAGUUUUUUUUUCAUAAGCUAUGAUGGUACUUGACAGUGCGCUCUUCCCUUGGUUAUGUUUGCUGGAAAGCUUCUGUAUUGCCAACAUAUUAUGCACAAAUGUCUUCACGCAUUAUUAAUUCAUCUUCAUUCUCUUAUUUUUUUACGGAUAAAGCCACACAUUGUUAGCAGUGAUGUUAUGGAACCAAUGAAAUGUUCAUUUUCAAUGAAACUCCUCAUCAUGAUAUCAGUGUGAGUAUCUCCAUACACAUAAUGCUCAAUCAUUUAUUAUAUUUGUUAACAUGAGACA
rnacentral:lncRNA from 1 species